AAAAAGAUUGGAUUUGGGGCGCCUGGAUGGCUCAGUGGUUGAGCGUCUGCCUUCGGCUCAGGUCAUGAUCCCAGGGUCCUAGACUGAGUCCCACAUCGGGCUCCCUGCACGGAGCCUGCUUCUCUCCCUGCCUGUGUCUCUGCCUCUCCCUCUCUGUCUCUCACGAAUAUAUAAAUUAAAAAUAUUAAAAAAAAAAAAAAAAAAGAUUGGCUGUGAGCUUCAGUCCUCAAGAGACAGCAUUUCUCUGCGAAAGCAGCCUGUCCCUUCUGGGCCUCAGCUAUCCUCCUCUAGAGGAGAGGUGAUCUCACAAGCUUUUUGUAGGGAUCAAAGGAAACAUGUGGGCGAAAGCCCUUUGUGAACCAAAAAACACCAAAUGACAGAGGUUCAAUUAUUGUAAGAAAUUCAAGAUGAGCCCCUGCAGUCCGAGGGAAGGCUUGGAGCUGGUGUGGGCGACUAGGUCAUAAAGGAAUGUGAUUUCUUGCCUCACAAGAGAGGACACAGGAUGUAGGAGACAAUGGAAUGCUGAGGAAAGCCUGCCAGGUGGCAAAGAGGAUGCUCCACCUAGAGCCCCUCCUCCUGAGAGCCCUUCCUGUGCCAGUCGGGGCACAUGUCAUGCCUUGUACAGACAGAGGGCUUGCACCUUCUGUGGGAUUAAAUUCCAAAGUCAGAGCACGAGGGAAAAAAAAAAAAAAAAAAACUACAACCAGGAAUAGUCAAAGUCUCUCUUAAAUAUCCUACAAAUCACCUGGAAAGUGUAGCAUCCAUGGUUUUGCAAUGACCCCGACACAGCGAGAUUUAAUCAUAUUUUAGUUUAAAGCCACUAUGCAGGUAUUGUGGUUUGAAUACCUCUCUCCUCUCGGACCUCUCUAAUCUGCUAGCAGGUGAUGAACGGGUUCGUUGUUGGGAGAAGACAGGAUAACAUACAUGAAAGCAUCCAUCGCUGAGUGACGUGCAUGAAAACUCGCUUCAUCAGAAGGACAGAGCACUUUGGAGGGCUAUUUAUUGAGCCCUUAUGGAUCAGGCUCGAGAAUGCUGAGGACAAUAGAUAUUUGGGCGGAUCUCCUAAAGGUGUAGGCCACUGGCGGCGCAUGUGCUGAUUCCAGCGGCCCUUCCCCGGUCAGCGGCCCAGUCCAGAAGCCCAAGUUCAAGGAUAAACCUCACUCACUUGAAAUCGAAUGACCGGCUCCGAAUCACAGAAAGUCACAGCUGAAAGGCACUGUUUUCCUUUCAUAGACUUUGAAGACUGAACUACAAUUGCAAAAACAAAUAAUAAAUAAAAUAAAUUUCAAUAAAAAAAUGAAAAAUAAAA